rnacentral:tRNA from 1 species
GGAGGAGUCGCAUAGUUGGUCCAUUGCGAAGGUUUGCUAAACCUUUGAGCCGCAAGGCUCGCGUGGGUUCGAAUCCCACCUCCUCCG